GCUCCAGUGGCGCAGUUGGUUAGCGCAUGGUACUUAUAUGACAGUAUUCAUGAUCAUUACCUGAAUCGAAUAAGGGAUGCCGAAGUCGCGAGUUCGAGCCUCGCCUGGAGCA
rfam:Daphnia magna strain Xinb3 scaffold00311, whole genome shotgun sequence.